rnacentral:rRNA from 1 species
UUAAAUUGAAGAGUUUGAUCAUGGCUCAGAUUGAACGCUGGCGGCAGGCCUAACACAUGCAAGUCGAACGGUAACAGGAAGCAGCUUGCUGCUUUGCUGACGAGUGGCGGACGGGUGAGUAAUGUCUGGGAAACUGCCUGAUGGAGGGGGAUAACUACUGGAAACGGUGGCUAAUACCGCAUAACGUCGCAAGACCAAAGAGGGGGACCUUCGGGCCUCUUGCCAUCAGAUGUGCCCAGAUGGGAUUAGCUAGUUGGUGAGGUAACGGCUCACCAAGGCGACGAUCCCUAGCUGGUCUGAGAGGAUGACCAGCCACACUGGAACUGAGACACGGUCCAGACUCCUACGGGAGGCAGCAGUGGGGAAUAUUGCACAAUGGGCGCAAGCCUGAUGCAGCCAUGCCGCGUGUAUGAAGAAGGCCUUCGGGUUGUAAAGUACUUUCAGCGGGGAGGAAGGUGUUGUGGUUAAUAACCGCAGCAAUUGACGUUACCCGCAGAAGAAGCACCGGCUAACUCCGUGCCAGCAGCCGCGGUAAU